rnacentral:rRNA from 1 species
UACGUAGGCAGCAAGCGUUGUUCGGAGUUACUGGGCGUAAAGCGCACGUAGGCGGAUAUUUAAGUCAGGGGUGAAAUCCCAGAGCUCAACUCUGGAACUGCCUUUGAUACUGGGUAUCUUGAGUAUGGAAGAGGUAAGUGGAAUUGCGAGUGUAGAGGUGAAAUUCGUAGAUAUUCGCAGGAACACCAGUGGCGAAGGCGGCUUACUGGUCCAUACUGACGCUGAGGUGCGAAAGCGUGGGGAGCAAACAGGAUUAAGAAACCCUGAGUACGUACCA